rnacentral:rRNA from 1 species
CCUACGGGAGGCAGCAGUGGGGAAUCUUGGGCAAUGGGCGCAAGCCUGACCCAGCGACGCCGCGUGGGGGAUGAAGGCCUUCGGGUCGUAAACCCCUUUUCUGGGGGAAGAAUAAGCGGGGGAGGGAAUGCCCCCGCGAUGACGGUACCCCAGGAAUAAGGGACGGCUAACUCUGUGCCAGCAGCCGCGGUAAGACAGAGGUCCCAAGCGUUAUCCGGAUUCACUGGGCGUAAAGCGCGUGCAGGCGGCCGGGUGAGUCUCCGGUGAAAGCCCUCGGCUUAACCGGGGGAGGCCGGUUGAUACUAGCGGGCUCGGGGGCAGGAGGGGGGAGUGGAACUACCGGAGUAGCGGUGAAAUGCGUAGAUACCGGUAGGAACAUCGAGGGCGAAGGCAACUCCCUGGCCUGCCACCGACGCUGAGACGCGAAAGCGUGGGGAGCAAACCGGAUUAGAUACCCUUGUAGU